rnacentral:rRNA from 1 species
GAUGAACGCUGGCGGCGUGCCUAAUACAUGCAAGUCGAGCGAACAGAUGAGGAGCUUGCUCCUCUGACGUUAGCGGCGGACGGGUGAGUAACACGUGGAUAACCUACCUAUAAGACUGGGAUAACUUCGGGAAACCGGAGCUAAUACCGGAUAAUAUAUUGAACCGCAUGGUUCAAUAGUGAAAGACGGUUUUGCUGUCACUUAUAGAUGGAUCCGCGCCGCAUUAGCUAGUUGGUAAGGUAACGGCUUACCAAGGCAACGAUGCGUAGCCGACCUGAGAGGGUGAUCGGCCACACAGAGAGUGAAACCGGGUCCAGACUCCUACGGGAGGCAGAAGGGGGGGAGCUUCAGAAAGGGGAGAAAGCCUGACGGAGAAACGCCGGGGGAGGGAAAAAGUUCUUGGGAUCGAAAAACUUUUUUAUAGGGGAAAAAAAAAUGUGAAAGUAACUAUGCACGUCUGGAGGGAACAAAAUAAAAAAGCCACGGCAAACAACGGC